rnacentral:rRNA from 1 species
AUUGAACGCUGGCGGCAUGCCUUACACAUGCAAGUCGAACGGCAGCGCGGGCUUCGGCCUGGCGGCGAGUGGCGAACGGGUGAGUAAUAUAUCGGAACGUGCCCUGGAGUGGGGGAUAACCAGUCGAAAGACUGGCUAAUACCGCAUACGCUCUCUGGAGGAAAGUGGGGGACCGCAAGGCCUCACGCUCGUGGAGCGGCCGAUAUCUGAUUAGCUAGUUGGCGGGGUAAAGGCCCACCAAGGCGAAGAUCAGUAGCUGGUCUGAGAGGACGACCAGCCACACUGGGAACUGAGACACGGCCCAGAAUCCUACGGGAGGCCGCAGUGGGGAAUUUGGGACAAUGGGGGCAACCCUGAUCCAGCAAUGCCGCGUGUGUGAAGAAGGCCUUCGGGUUGUAAAGCACUUUUGUCCGGAAAGAAAUCGCUGCGGCGAAUAACCGCAGUGGAUGACGGUACCGGAAGAAUCAGCACCGGCUAACUACGUGCCAGCAGCCGCCGUAACAC